rnacentral:lncRNA from 1 species
CCUAGAUGUUCUUGGACAUCAUUGGGGCACAGGGGAGGGGGUCCUACAAUCCUGCUCCAAAAUGGGAGAGCAGCCCUGUCACCCCACCAGGUACAGGAAGGUAGGAAGACCUCACAUCAGGAGAAUUCCCAUGCCCAAGUUGGCUGGGCCACUGCCUAUUCAUGCCAGGUACAGUGUGCCAAGCAGUGAGGAAAGGGGUGUUCAGAUUCUAACCUGGAAAACUGGAAUGAUUUGGUGAAGGCCACUUUUCACUCUGUCCUUCAAAAAGCACUGAGCAUCUUCCUUAUGCCAGGUCUGUUGUAGGUAGUAGGAACACAGAAGCAAGGUCCAAUAGGGUCCUCCUCUCAGGAAACCAACUUUUGAGAAUGAGGAGAUGGACAGACAAGAAAAAUCAGACCAGAAACAGAGUGAUGUGCCUGACUGUGCUGCCUUCCCACUCUGGGGAAACAAUCUUAAUACAUGGUGAUGUGAUGAUGACCAGGAAUUUCCUUAGAGCGAGUGGCCCAUGCAGACCCUCCUAAGGAAAAACAUCUCAUUUCAGAUCUGAAUACAAAGAGCCAGCUAGUGAAAACCAGAGGGGAAAGCACACUAGACACAGAGAAAAGAGCUUGCAAAGACCCAGAGGUGGGAUAAGGUGGGUUUUCUGGAUCCUCUUCCAUAGAAAGUGGUGUUAACAACUAGAGUUGCUCCUCACAAGCUUGAGCAAGAAUUUGCACAUACUGUGCUUCAGCUGAAUAUGCAGGUUCCCACCUUACCUCCAGUCCAGGGCUCAGCCCUCCAUACCUGUUACUGGUCCCUCAGUGCCUGCUCAGCUAGUAUGGGUGGGCUUCCCUGGAGCAAGAGAACUCCAAUCUGGAAGGAACCCAUCCCCUGUGAGAGACUGAUGUAUAAGGAACAAUCAAUAUCAAAUCUACCUACCUGGACCUGGUAUCCCCAUAUUGCUGAGUCCCUUACCACAUCUCUCUCCCCUGCGUUUCAUAGGAUCUGAUUACAGAAUCCAGCAGCUGAAAGAAUGAGUGUUCUCCUCAGUGUUCUCAUGUGUGUAAUAGGUGCAAUACCAUAGUACCUACGACGCUGAGGAUUAAGAGAAUUAAUAGGUGUAAAGUACAUGAAGAUAUACCUGACAUCUGGACAAAGACAUUCAUUUUUAGUAUUGUAGUAAUUAUUAUUUAAUAAUCUCCUUUCUCACCUCCAGGGGGGGUCCCUUGCCUUGUUCAUCUUAGUAUCUGUAAUGUUUAUCACAAGUUCCUAGAAGGCACUCC